rnacentral:rRNA from 1 species
GACGAACGCUGGCGGCGUGCUUAACACAUGCAAGUCGAACGGAAAGGCCCUGCUUUUGUGGGGUGCUCGAGUGGCGAACGGGUGAGUAACACGUGAGUAACCUGCCCUUGACUUUGGGAUAACUUCAGGAAACUGGGGCUAAUACCGGAUAGGAGCUCCUGCUGCAUGGUGGGGGUUGGAAAGUUUCGGCGGUUGGGGAUGGACUCGCGGCUUAUCAGCUUGUUGGUGGGGUAGUGGCUUACCAAGGCUUUGACGGGUAGCCGGCCUGAGAGGGUGACCGGCCAAAUUGGGACUGAGAUACGGCCCAGACUCCUACGGGGGGCAGGAGGGGGGAAUAUUGCAAAAGGGGGGGAAGCCGGAUGCAGCAACGCCGGGUGGGGGAGGACGGCCUUGGGGUUGUAAACCGCUUUCGCCUGUGACGAAGCGGGGGUGACGGUAAUGGGGAAAGAAGCACCGGCUAACUACGU